AUCGCUUUUCAGCCUUUUAGCUAAGAUCAAGUGUAGCAUCUGUUCUCAUUAGUUUAAUAUCUGAUACAUCUCUAUCUGAGGACAAUAUAUUAAAUGGAUUUUUGGAUCAAGGAGAUGAAAUAAGAGCUUGUUCCAUCCACUCCAUGCAUCGAGCUGGUAUUGCAAAUCUGAGGUAGAGAAGAAAAACCC
ensembl:snRNA U2 U2 spliceosomal RNA